rnacentral:rRNA from 1 species
GAGUUUGAUCUUGGCUCAGAUUGAACGCUGGCGGAAUGCUUUACACAUGCAAGUCGAGCGGCAGCGCGGGGCAACCUGGCGGCGAGCGGCGAACGGGUGAGUAAUGCAUCGGAACGUGUCCAUGUCGUGGGGGAUAGCCCGGCGAAAGCCGGAUUAAUACCGCAUACGCCCGAGAGGGGAAAGUGGGGGACCGCAAGGCCUCACGCGAUUGGGUCGGCCGAUGUCCGAUUAGCUA